rnacentral:rRNA from 1 species
UAAAAGUAUCGAUGACAAUAUAGUAUAACAUCAAAAAAAAUAAAAAAGUAAUUCAAAGGGGUUAUUAAGGAUAGCACAAGCAAAUUUAUAAAAAAGGAGGUGUCAACCAAAUGCUUUCAUAAUAUUAAAUUAUCUAUCGUGAAAGCGAUCCUAAGGGAAACCUUUUAAUUAAUACUUCCUGAAGUAAAACAUUUUAGUAAGGAAAGGAAAGGAAAUCAACCGAGACUCCGAAAGUAAUGGUGAGUGAAAUCGGAUUAGCCUAAGAUUAUCUUUUAUAAAUUGAAAAAAUUAACUCUUUUUUAUAAUAUUCUUAAUUAAAUUUAUACCAAUAAACUUAAAUAAGUAAUAUGAAAUCAAGAACUUAAUUUACAAAUAAUUUUAUUUCAAAUAAAAAAAAUUUGUUCAAAGAAGGUUAAAAACAAUAAGUCCUGUAGAUUUAUAAAAAAAUAAUAUAAUAAGUACGAUGAGAGUUAACUUGUCGGAAUAUAGGGGAACCAUCCUCUAAGGCUAAGUAUUAUAAAUUUAGCGAUAGUGAAAAAGUACUGUAAAGGAAAAGUUUGAAAAGCAAUGGUUUAAAGAAACAUAAGAGUAAUUAUUAAAAUUUAAAUAAUAUCUAAAAAAUAUUAAAAUUUAAUAAAUGCCGGUGAAAAAGAUCUUGAAUUAGUAACUCUAUAAGCAGUCGAAAUUUAAAACAAAAAAUGACGGCGUACCUUUUGCAUAAUGGGUCAGCAAGUUAAUAGGAGUAGCAAGGUUAAAAGCCCUAGCGAAAGCGACUGGACUAUACUUAUAAAAAAUCUCAAAUUUUUUCAUAAACAAAUAUAGUGAUGGAUAAGUUACUUCUAUUAGACCCGAAGCCAGGUGAUCUUACUAAGACCAGAUUAUAAUGGAUCGAACGGGUGAAUGUUGCAUAAUUCUCCGAUGAGUUUUAGUAAGCGGUGAAAUGCCAAUCUGACCUGGUGCUAUCUGGUUUUCUACCGAAACAUAUUUAAGUAUGACAUCUACACAAAAUUUAUGGAGGUACAGCAAGGCAAUUCCCAACAAGUAUAAGAGAAAUUAAUUAAAAAUAAUUUCGUCUUUUAGGCGUUUAGGUUGUGGGGACCUCGAAAAUCUUACCUAUGGAAGCGAAUCUCGGAAGUACAUAAAUUGAUGGUAGAUAUUCAGACUAUCCAUGCUAAGUUGGAUAGUCAAGACGGAAACAGCCGAGAACAUUGAUCAAGGUCCCAAAUGAUUAUUAAGUGAAAUUAAGGAUGUUUAAAAUCGGAUACAGCUGUGAAGUGAGCUUGGAAGUAGCUUCUUAUAAUGAUCGUAUGUAACAACGCAUCAGCAGUCUAGAUUGUAGCGCCGAAAAUUUAACGGGUCUUAAAUAAUCAACCGAUAUCGUGUUGGUUUUAAAUAAUAAUAAAAAUAAAAAAUAAAAAUUAAUAAAUAAAUAAAUAAAAUAAAAAGUUUUUCUUUUUUAAAUUCUUAUUUUAAACCUAGGUAGUAGAACAUUCAGUCAAACUAUUUAUAAAACAGUGUUUCAUUGUUUUUAGGUAACUGAAGAGAGAAUGCUGACAUGAGUAACGUAAAAAGAAGUUAUAAUACUUCUCGCCGAAUACGAAAGGGUUGUAAGUGAAAGGUUAAUCCGCCUUACGUGAAUGCGGCCUCUAAGGACUAGAACGAAAGUUUUGGCUGAUGAGUAUAUAAUAGAAAAUCCAUUUUUUGGAUCAGGAAAUUAAUAUGAGAUAAAAUUUUAUUUUAUCUGUAAGAACUUAAUUUUAUUUUUAAUAGGUCUAAAUUUUACAAAUUUUAUAGUAACCUUUAUUCUUUUUAUUUUUAAAUAAAAAAAUAGAAAAAUAAAAUUAAGACUACCGUACCCUAAACCGACACAGGUUCGUAGGUAGAGAAUACUAAGGCGUAGAGCUAAAAGUUGUUAAGGAACUCGGCAAAUUAACCUCAUAAGUUUGACAACAAGAGGUACCGCAUAUUAUUAAAAAUAAAUCUUAAAUAGUAAAAUAUCUAAUAUUUAUUCUUUUUAUAAGGCGGUGACACAUAAUCGGAGGCCCCGACUGUUUACUAAAAACACAGAUCACAGCAAUCAUGUAAAUGAUAGUAUUGUGGUCGAAAUUUGCCCGAUGCCAUUAAUAUAAGAGAGGUUAUAGUUUCUGUGACUAAUCGAAAGUCUGGUUAAUAGCGGUCUUAACUAUGAGGAUCCUAAGGUAGCAAAAUAAAUUGGCCAUUAAAUGUGGUCCGGUAUCAAUAAUGUAACGAGGGCCUCACUGUCUCUACAACUUGCUCAGUGAAAUUGAAUUACCCGUGCAGAUGCGGGUUACCUCCAGGGGGACGGGAAGACCCUAUGCAGCUUUACUGUAGUUAGUUAUCAUAUUAAUCUACAACAACCUUUGUUACUAGAGAAUAGGUAAGUCGAUAGACUAUUUGUGGAAACCUUAAAACUUAGGUUGGGUUAAUGUUUACCUUUAUAUAAAAUAAAAACUUAAAAGGGAGAGGUUACUAAUUGGCAGUUUGACUGGGGCGGUCGUCUUUAAUAGAGUAGCAAAGUACAUCCAAAUAUUUAAAUUAUUAUAAUGUUUUAGUUUAAAUUUAGUUUUCUGGAUUUAAAUUAUUUUACAUUUCAAACAAAUAAAAUAUAAAAUUAUAUUAUAUUUUUUAUAUUAAUAUCUUUCAUAUACUUUUGUAUGUUGUAAAGAAAUACACAAAAAAUUAAAAAAGGUAUAGCUAGAAAUUGAAUGGAGAUCAAUCAACCAGUGAAAGGUUGUGCAGGGCUCAAUGGCGGUAAGCAUGCUUAACUGAAAGACCUAAAAGUCGCACAGAUACGUAAGUAGGGCAUAGUGACCCCUCGCUAUAAUAUGGGAUAGACGGGGAUCAAUUGAUAAAAGUUACGCUAGGGAUAACAGGCUGAUAGCCGACGAGAGUACACAUUGUCUCGGCUGAUUGGCACCUUACAGGUUAAAAAGAGUUUAAAAAUUUAGUGUUAAAUACUAGUCUUAAUACAGAAAUAAUUUCACCAACAAUAGAUUCACCAACGAAUACGAGAGUUGGAACUAUUACACCUUUUUCUCUUACUGAAGCUGACAACCUAAAAUUGGAAGAAAUGAAUUUAGGUCGAGAGAUGAUUGGGGAGACUAGUAACCCUUCUAAUUUAAAGAUAGCAGACGAACUUAUAUUAGAAGCUUUAAAAGAAAUUAUAACAGAAAUUACUUAAUUUAAAAACUUAGCAUUUAACAUCGGGGAUUUUUAAUGGUGACAUUAAAUUAGCAGUUGGCUAUUUGCUGGAACACCCUUAGAGCUUUCAAUACUUAUUAAAUUAAUUAAAUAAUUUAAUGAUUUAAUAAGUGAAAAUUUGAAAGAUUGGGCAAUCAGCAGGGAAGUGAUUAAUUUUAGAUGUAAGCAAUUGUAAAAUUUCUCACCCCUCAACGAUCACACGCCAACAACCAGAGCUUUUCCAAAUUACUCUUGGAACUGGUUGAAGAUAUGAUCUAAACUUAACUGAAAGGUUAAGAGUAUUAGUAUAAUUAGUAUAAUUUAUAUAAUUUACUUAAUUUACUAAUAUAUAAUGCGAUGUCGACUCAUCCUAUCCUCCGGGGGAAGAAGCUUGGAAGGGUUCGGCUGUUCGCCGAUUAAAAGGGUACGCGAGUUGGGUUUAAUACGACGUGAGUCAGUAUGGUCCCUAUCUUCUGGAGGAAGAAAUAGUAAAAAGGGGCAGACCUUCUAGUACGAAAGGAUCAAUAGGCUGUGUUUCUCUAGUGUACCAAUUGUUUGUACUAACUUUUUUGUUAGGGACCUGUUUUAAAUGUAAUAGGAAAAGUCCUUUUAUAAUUUAUAUUAAGCAAAUAAAUUAUACUUUCUUUUUAAAUAUACUGUUUUUAAAUCUUUAAGUGCGAAACAGUUAAAAGAGUUGAAUAAAAAGGCUACAAGAAAUUAGGAAUGCAUAGUUGGGUAGCCACAAACAUAAUAGAUAAGUGCUGAAUGUCUAUCAAGCAAGAAUCUAACCCCUAGAUACUAAAACGAUUUUAUCUUAAUAUAUUUUAUAUAUAAAAAUUUAAAGUCGUAAAUUAAGAAAUAGAACAUUUCUAGAUAGGCUGCAAAUGUAAAUAUUGUAAAAUAAAUAGUUUAGCAGUACUAAUUUAUAAAAAUACUA